rfam:Tupaia chinensis contig17719, whole genome shotgun sequence.
AUACUUACCUGGCUGUGGAGAUACCAUGAUCACGAAGGUGGUUUCCCCAGGGCAAGGCUUAUCCAUUACACUCCGAAUGUGCUAACCACUGUGAUUUCCCCAAAUGUGGAAAACUCAACUGCAUAAUUUGUAGUAGUGGGGGACUGUGUUUGCUCUCUCCCCAA